GGGGAACAUUUAAAGUUUAAAUGUUGCCUGAUAAACUCUUCCUACAACAAAAUCUCUACUUUUCCUGCUUGUUGUACACAAGUCAAGUUUACAAGCCUCCGGACUAUGAGAUACAUA